ensembl:snoRNA U3 Small nucleolar RNA U3
AAGGCCACUUCAAGUCUUGCUAUAGACCUACAGUAAUCAAGACAGUGGGACACAAGGAGAAGGUGUAGUGUUUACUCCUGAGCAGCUCUAGGUGUUAGUUUCUGCAACUGUCUUCUGCCACUGAUGACUGUCCUUCUCUCUUCCUUUGGGGUAGUAAGAGUGAGAGGAUGCAGUCUAAGUGGU